rnacentral:rRNA from 1 species
GAUGAACGCUAGCGGUAGGCCUAACACAUGCAAGUCGAGGGGUAACAUAGGAAAGCUUGCUUUUCUGAUGACGACCGGCGCACGGGUGCGUAACGCGUAUACAACCUACCUUUUAGCGGGGAAUAGCCCAGGGAAACUUGGAUUAAUGCCCCAUAGUAUAUAGGCUUCUCCUGAAGUUUAUAUUAAACAUUUAUGGCUAUUAGAUGGGUAUGCGUCCUAUUAGUUAGUUGGUAAGGUAACGGCUUACCAAGGCAGCGAUAGGUAGGGGUCCUGAGAGGGAGAUCCCCACACUGGUACUGAGACACGGACCAGACUCCUACGGGAGGCAGCAGUGAGGAAUAUUGGACAAUGGGCGAGAGCCUGAUCCAGCCAUGCCGCGUGCAGGAAGACUGCCCUAUGGGUUGUAAACUGCUUUUACAGAGGAAGAACCACCCCCACGUGUGGGGGUUUGACGGUACUCUGCGAAUAAGGAUCGGCUAACUCCGUG